AGAGUUCGAUCCUGGCUCAGGACGAACGCUGGCGGCGCGCCUAACACAUGCAAGUCGAACGAGCGAGAGAGAGCUUGCUUUCUCAAGCGAGUGGCGAACGGGUGAGUAACGCGUGAGGAACCUGCCUCAAAGAGGGGGACAACAGUUGGAAACGACUGCUAAUACCGCAUAAGCCCACAGCUCGGCAUCGAGCAGAGGGAAAAGGAGCAAUCCGCUUUGAGAUGGCCUCGCGUCCGAUUAGCUAGUUGGUGAGGUAACGGCCCACCAAGGCAACGAUCGGUAGCCGGACUGAGAGGUUGAACGGCCACAUUGGGACUGAGACACGGCCCAGACUCCUACGGGAGGCAGCAGUGGGGAAUAUUGCACAAUGGGGGAAACCCUGAUGCAGCGACGCCGCGUGGAGGAAGAAGGUCUUCGGAUUGUAAACUCCUGUUGUUGAGGAAGAUAAUGACGGUACUCAACAAGGAAGUGACGGCUAACUACGUGCCAGCAGCCGCGGUAAAACGUAGGUCACAAGCGUUGUCCGGAAUUACUGGGUGUAAAGGGAGCGCAGGCGGGAAGACAAGUUGGAAGUGAAAUCUAUGGGCUCAACCCAUAAACUGCUUUCAAAACUGUUUUUCUUGAGUAGUGCAGAGGUAGGCGGAAUUCCCGGUGUAGCGGUGGAAUGCGUAGAUAUCGGGAGGAACACCAGUGGCGAAGGCGGCCUACUGGGCACCAACUGACGCUGAGGCUCGAAAGUGUGGGUAGCAAACAGGAUUAGAUACCCUGGUAGUCCACACCGUAAACGAUGGUUACUAGGUGUUGGAGGAUUGACCCCUUCAGUGCCGCAGUUAACACAAUAAGUAAUCCACCUGGGGAGUACGACCGCAAGGUUGAAACUCAAAGGAAUUGACGGGGGCCCGCACAAGCAGUGGAGUAUGUGGUUUAAUUCGACGCAACGCGAAGAACCUUACCAAGUCUUGACAUCCUGCGACGCACAUAGAAAUAUGUGUUUCCUUCGGGACGCAGAGACAGGUGGUGCGUGGUUGUCGUCAGCUCGUGUCGUGAGAUGUUGGGUUAAGUCCCGCAACGAGCGCAACCCUUACUGUCAGUUACUACGCAAGAGGACUCUGGCAGGACUGCCGUUGACAAAACGGAGGAAGGUGGGGAUGACGUCAAAUCAUCAUGCCCUUUAUGACUUGGGCUACACACGUACUACAAUGGCGUUAAACAAAGAGAAGCAAGACCGCGAGGUGGAGCAAAACUCAGAAACAACGUCCCAGUUCGGACUGCAGGCUGCAACUCGCCUGCACGAAGUCGGAAUUGCUAGUAAUCGUGGAUCAGCAUGCCACGGUGAAUACGUUCCCGGGCGUGUACACACCGCCCGU
rnacentral:rRNA from 1 species